UAGGUUGCCAUUUGAAAAUCAAAAGUGAGGAGCAGUCGUUUCACCUCUCAAAAUCAGGGCCACAAAAAAAUAAUGCUAAUGUAACAUUUUAAAACUGCUUAAAUUAUCGAAAAAAUUUAAUAACGAGAAUUUUACGUUAAACGAAUCACCGUGUAUACUGUUAACCUUCUCAGUGCGUCCAAUUUAAAUAGUUUAAUUAUUUAUAGGUGGCGGCCUAGCUAUAUAUCUGAGUAAUUUAUUCCGUACAUGUAUAAUUUUGACAUUUAGUACGGCCUAUCAAAAUAACAAACUCUAUUUAAUGUAACGGUAAUAAUUGCCUAUUUGAAAUUGAAAAAAAUACAGCCGUUUAGUUGGUAUCAGUACACAAAGGAUAAAUUUAGCUAUUAUGGUUGAAAUUCGAAAAAUUAUGCAAAAAAAAAAA